AAUUUUAUGUUUUUUAAGUAAAAGUUUUAUUCUUGCUUAAUUAUUCAUUAUUUCUUUAAAUUAUAUACUAGUUUAGAAUACUAAAUGUUCGUUAUGUAGUAAUUGAAUUUAUUAAAUCAAGUUAUUUUGGAAUUAGUAAUUGGUUAAAGUUUUGACAAAAUUUGUGCCAGCAGUCGCGGUUAUACAAUUGAUGCAAUUGAAUAUUUUUGACUUUAUAGAUAAUUUUUAUUUUGAAUAUUAAUUUAAAUUUAUUAGGUGAAAUUUUAUAUUUAUUGAAUAUUCAUAUUUUUUGUUCUGUGAAAUUUAAAUUUUAAACUAGGAUUAGAUACCCUAUUAUUUUAUUAGUAAAUUUUGUUAGGGUAUUAAUAGUUAAGUUCUUUAAACCCAAAGAAUUUGGCGGCAUUUUAUUCCAUUCAGAGGAACCUAUCCCGUAAUUGAUAAUACACGAUUUGUUUUACUUAAUUUAUUAGUUUGUAUAUCUCCGUUAUUAGAUGAUCUUUUUAGAGUAUAUAAUUUUCUUAAUUCUUGAUUGAGAAGGAUUUCAGGUCAAGGUGCAGCUUAUAAAUAAGAGGUGAUGGGUUACAUUAAACUUUAUGGUUUACGGAUUUAUAAAUGUGAAUUUUUAAUUAAGUUGGAUUUGAUAGUAAUUUGUUUAACAUUAUUCAUUUGAUUUUGGCUCUAAGGUGUGUACACAUCGCCCGUCACUCUCAUUAUUUUUUAAUAAAGUUAAUUAUUUUAAUUGAGAUAAGUCGUAACAUAGUAGACGUACUGGAAAGUGUGUCUAGAAAGACAUCGAAAUA
rnacentral:ncRNA from 1 species